GAAAUGCGAUAAGUAAUGUGAAUUGCAGAAUUCAGUGAAUCAUCGAAUCUUUGAACGCACAUUGCGCCCGCCGGCAUCCCGGCGGGCAUGCCUGUCCGAGCGUCAUUUCCACCCUCAGGCGCUGCCUGGUGUUGGGGGCCUGCGCCUGCAGCCCCCGAAAGCCAACGGCGGUCCCGGUCCCGGCCCCGAGCGUAGUAGCAUACGUCGCUCCGGGCGCCGGGCGGGCGCCAGCCGCAACCCACCAUCGCAAGGUUGACCUCGGAUCAGGUAGGAAUACCCGCUGAACUUAA
rnacentral:misc_RNA from 1 species